AAGUCGAGCGGAUGAAGGGAGCUUGCUCCUGGAUUCAGCGGCGGACGGGUGAGUAAUGCCUAGGAAUCUGCCUGGUAGUGGGGGAUAACGUCCGGAAACGGGCGCUAAUACCGCAAUCGUCCUGAGGGAGAAAGUGGGGGAUCUUCGGACCUCACGCUAUCAGAUGAGCCUAGGUCGGAUUAGCUAGUUGUGGGGUAAAGGCCUACCAAGGCGACGAUCCGUAACUGGUCUGAGAGGAUGAUCAGUCACACUGGAACUGAGACACGGUCCAGACUCCUACGGGAGGCAGCAGUGGGGAAUAUUGGACAAUGGGCGAAAGCCUGAUCCGCAACAUGCCGCGUGUGUGAAGAAGGUCUUCGGAUUGUAAAGCACUUUAAGUUGGGAGGAAGGGCAGUAAGUUAAUACCUUGCUGUUUUGACGUUACCAACAGAAUAAGCACCGGCUAACUUCGUGCCAGCAGCCGCGGUAAAUCGAAGGGUGCAAGCGUUAAUCGGAAUUACUGGGCGUAAAGCGCGCGUAGGUGGUUCAGCAAGUUGGAUGUGAAAUCCCCGGGCUCAACCUGGGAACUGCAUCCAAAACUACUGAGCUAGAGUACGGUAGAGGGUGGUGGAAUUUCCUGUGUAGCGGUGAAAUGCGUAGAUAGAUGAAGGAACACCAGUGGCGAAGGCGACCACCUGCAGUGAUACUGACUCAGAGGUGCGAAAGCGUGGGGAGCAAACAGGAUUAGAUACCCUGGUAGUCCACGCCGUAAACGAUGUCGACUAGCCGUUGGGAUCCUUGAGAUCUUAGUGGCGCAGCUAACGCGAUAAGUCGACCGCCUGGGGAGUACGGCCGCAAGGUUAAAACUCAAAUGAAUUGACGGGGGCCCGCACAAGCGGUGGAGCAUGUGGUUUAAUUCGAAGCAACGCGAAGAACCUUACCUGGCCUUGACAUGCUGAGAACUUUCCAGAGAUGGAUUGGUGCCUUCGGGAACUCAGACACAGGUGCUGCAUGGCUGUCGUCAUCGCGUGUCGUGAGAUGUUGGGUUAAGUCCCGUAACGAGCGCAACCCUUGUCCUUAGUUACCAGCACCUCGGGUGGGCACUCUAAGGAGACUGCCGGUGACAAACCGGAGGAAGGUGGGGAUACGUCAAGUCAUCAUGGCCCUUACGGCCAGGGCUACACACGUGCUACAAUGGUCGGUACAAAGGGUUGCCAAGCCGCGAGGUGGUCGAAUCCCAUAAAACCGAUCGUAGUCCGGAUCGCAGUCUGCAAC
rnacentral:rRNA from 1 species